ensembl:lncRNA
CUGUCUAGGUUACACAGUCCAUUUACCCCUGUCUAGGUUACACAGUCCAUUACCCCUGUCUAGGUUACACAGUCCAUUACCCCUGUCUAGGUUACACAGUCCAUUACCCCUGUCUAGGUUACACAGUCCAUUACCCCUGUCUAGGUUACACAGUCCAUUACCCCUGUCUAGGUUACACAGUCCAUUACCCCUGUCUAGGUUACACAGUCCAUUACCCCUGUCUAGGUUACACAGUCCACUGUCUAGGUUACACAGUCCAUUACCCCUGUCUAGGUUACACAGUCCAUUACCCCUGUCUAGGUUACACAGUCCAUUACCCCUGUCUAGGUUACACAGUCCAUUACCCCUGUCUAGGUUACACAGUCCAUUACCCCUGUCUAGGUUACACAGUCCAUUACCCCUGUCUAGGUUACACAGUCCAUUACCCCUGUCUAGGUUACACAGCCCAUUACCCCUGUCUAGGUUACACAGCCCAUUACCCCUGUCUAGGUUACACAGUCCAUUACCCCUGUCUAGGUUACACAGUCCAUUACCCCUGUCUAGGUUACACAGCCCAUUAUCCCUGUCUAGGUUACACAGUCCAUUACCACUGUCUAGUUUACACAGUCCAUUACCCCUGUCUAGGUUACACAGUCCAUUACCCCUGUCUAGGUUACACAGACCACUGUCUAUGUUACACAGUCCAUUAUCACUUCUAGGUUACACAGUCCAUUACCCCUGUCUAGGUUACACAGUCCACUGUCUAGGUUACACAGACCAUUACCACUGUCUAGGUUACACAGUCCAUUACCACUGUCUAGGUUACACAGUCCAUUAUCACUCUCUAGGUUACACAGUCCACUGUCUAGGUUACACAGUCCACUGUCUAGGUUACACAGUCCAUUACCCCUGUCUAGGUUACACAGUCCAUUACCACUGUCUAGGUUACACAGUCCAUUACCACUGUCUAGGUUACACAGUCCAUUACCACUGUCUAGGUUAAACAGUCCAUUAUCACUGUCUAGGUUACACAGUCCACUGUCUAGGUUACACAGUUCAUGUAAUCACAGUGUGUGUUUGUUAUACAUAUGUAUGGAUGGUUGGCAACUGUGAUAAUGUAUGUGAAUGGAUAGCAAGUAAAAAUCUUUAUCUCUAUGGGAGAAAUUAACAGGUCUUCCCUGUCCACAUUUGGUCUACACACAUGCGAACACACACAUAAACACACACACACACACAUAAACCUAUCAUCUCCAGUAUUCUAAUCAGAGUUGGCCAAUUAGCUGCCGUCUUGUUACACCUCUGCAUUGGAGGGCCUGAGUGGCUGAUUGAAUUGCAAAGCAGAGUGGAUCAGACAGCCUGCAGCACUGAAUAGAAGGGGGAGGUCCAGUCAAUCAAAUCACAUUGUAUUUGUCACAUGUUUCGUAAACAACAGGCUAACGGGGAAAUGCUUCCUUUCGGGCCGUUCUCAACAAUGCAGAGAGAAAGACAAUAGAGAAAUAAUAGACUAUGCCAGAGUGGAUGUGCAGGGGUACGAGGUAAUUGACGUAGAUAUUUACAUAUAACUAUGAAUAACGUGACAUAAUAAACAUUAGCAGCAGUGUCUGUGAUGAGAGAGAACUUAGUGCGAUAAGGGUCAGUGCAGGUAGUCCAGGUAGGUAUUUGGUUAACUAUUGAACUAUUUAUCAGUCUUAUGGCUUGGGGGUAGAAGCUGAUCAGGGUCCUGUUGGAUCCAGACUUGGUGCAUCAGUACCUUGCUGUGGGGUAGCAGAGAGAACAGUCUAUGACUUGGGUGGCUGAAAUCUUUGACAAUUGUAGGGCCUUCCUCUGACACCGCCUGACAUAGAGACAGGGUGCUAGGGCCUUCCUCUGAAACCACCUGGCAUAGAGACAGGGUGCUAGAGCCUUCCUCUGACACCGCCUGGCAUAGAGACAGGGUGCUAGGGCCUUCCUCUGACACCGCCUGGCAUAGAGACAGGGUGCUAGGGCCUUCCUCUGAAACCACCUGGCAUAGAGACAGGGUGCUAGAGCCUUCAUCUGACACCGCCUGGCAUAGAGACAGGGUGCUAGGAACUUCCUCUGACACCGCCUGGCAUAGAGACAGUGUG